rnacentral:tRNA from 1 species
GCCUUCGUGGUGUAACGGUAGCACACUCGGCGCGUAUUCGAGAGAUCGAGGUUCGAGUCCUGGCGAGGGCA